UACGAAGGGGGCUAGCGUUGCUCGGAAUCACUGGGCGUAAAGGGUGCGUAGGCGGGUCUUUAAGUCAGGGGUGAAAUCCUGGAGCUCAACCUCCAGAACUGCCUUUGAUACUGAAGAUCUUGAGUUCGGGAGAGGUGAGUGGAACUGCGAGUGUAGAGGUGAAAUUCGUAGAUAUUCGCAAGAACACCAGUGGCGAAGGCGGCUCACUGGCCCGAUACUGACGCUGAGGCACGGAAAGCGUGGGGAGCCAAAC
rnacentral:rRNA from 1 species